rnacentral:antisense_RNA from 1 species
UGUCAAGCUGCUGUCACCUUACCUGAAGUAAGGAGUCCACGCCUGCAUGUCCGAGGAAAACAGUUUUCUCAAACACAUUAGUUGAAAAACUGAAGACGCUGCCUAAAAUACAAGCUGAGUUAGAGACAGCCCUUGUAAGACUAGAAAAAGAAAUGGAAACUAAGUAACAUGAAUUAACAUAGUCCAGGGUCACAAAGCAAAAUGGAACAAGAACCUGGAUCUGAAUUCAGAGGCAGAAUGCUGGGCCUGAGAAUCAGGAGAGUCAAUGGUAUUAGUGCUUGUCCGGAAGCCAUCAUGCUUCAAAACCAAGAAGAGCUGAUUUUCCAGUUGGAGUCUAAAGGCUUUGGUAUCAGGAUGAUGCUGGCCUCAUCAAACGAGUUAGGGAGGAUUCCCUCUUUUUCUAUUGAUUGGAAUAGUUUCAGAAGGAAUGGUACCAGCUCCUCCUUGUACCUCUGGUAGAAUUCGGCUGUGAAUCCGUCUGAUCCUGG